UAGGGAAUCUUCGGCAAUGGACGAAAGUCUCACCGAGCAACGCCGCGUGAGUGUAGAAGGUUUUCGGUGCUUAAAACUCUGUUGUUAGAGAAGAACAAGGACGUUUGUAACUGAACGUCCCCUGACGGUAUCUAACCAGAAAGCCACGGCUAACUACGUGCCAGCAGCCGCGGUAAUACGUAGGUGGCAAGCGUUGUCCGGAUUUCUUGGGCGUAAAGCGAGCGCAGGCGGUUUCUUAAGUCUGAUGUGAAAGCCCCCGGCUCAACCGGGGUGGGUCAUUGGGAACUGGGAGGCUUGAGUGCAGAAGAGGAGAGUGGAAUUCCAUGUGUAGCGGUGAAAUGCGUAGAUAUAUGGGAGAACACCAGUAGCGAAGGCGGCUCUCUGGUCUGUAACAGACACUGGGGCGCGAAAGCGUGGGGGGCAAACGGA
rnacentral:rRNA from 1 species